rnacentral:rRNA from 1 species
CGUGUAGGCGGCUAGGUAGGUCCGUUGUGAAAACUCGAGGCUCAACCUCGAGACGUCGAUGGAAACUAUCUAGCUAGAGUCCGGAAGAGGAGAGUGGAAUUCCUGGUGUAGCGGUGAAAUGCGCAGAUAUCAGGAAGAACACCCGUGGCGAAGGCGGCUCUCUGGUACGUGACUGACGCUGAGACGCGAAAGCGUGGGAGCAAACA